GGAGGAGUGUCCCUGGUGGAGCCGCUGCCUGCAUGCUCUCGUUGGCCUGCUGGCUCUGAUACUGUAUUUUGCUACGUUGUGAGGAUGUUUCUGCUUGCCUAGAAUUCUGAGCCUAAAAUGCUGCUCGUUACGCUGUUUACAUUUCACGAGAAAGGGGAAAUCUACCGUAUGUGGCUUCUUGUGCAGCUUUGCAGUGCGUUUUGUGUUGGUGUUGUGGAUUGUUGGUUUGUUGUUUGGGUGUUGUGUUGUGUGUCCCCCCCAAAUCUCUCUUGAUCGUGGAAGUGAUGAAAUAGCAAGGUUUUAAGGAACAAAGAUUGAGAGAGGAAAAUUUUACAUUAAGAUUAAUAGAAGUAUAAGUCUUGAAAAAUAAAGCUCUCCUCUAUUGUCUCCUACUCCUUGAGCUAACUAUAUAAGUGCUUUAAAAUAUCUAGAAGUCCUGAAAGGAUAUCCUCCUAUGAAGUUUAUGAGUUUAUCAUCUUGAUCCCUUUUUAUUUAAGGCAUUUGCUUGAAGGUCUUCACAGAAAGCAACAGAAUUCAUUUAUGUAGGUAAGAACAAAAAAUUUUAUUAUAUAUAUGUUAUUUUAGGAGUUUAGCUUGGAGACAAAUUUUCUUGAAUUCUAGGCUUUCCUAACAGAUGUGGUCAAGCUUUGGAAGGCUUCUGUUCUUAUCUGAAAGGUGAAGGUAGUUUUCAUCUUGUUCCUGCAGCUAUGUUUCAUAUUCUUAUGAUGCUAUUGCUUCCUUUGAAAAAUACUAUACAGAAGUGGCUAAGUGAAGUGUUCUGAUAAUGCCCCAAACUUAAACAGUUCUUUCUGCUUGCUGCUGCUUCUUAUUUGAGCCAUUGGAAUUCACAGUUGUUAGUAAUGUUCGACUGACUGUUUUGGUGAUUAUGUUUCUGAAGCUUGGAGAAGAAGAAAAAAAUUUCAAAAUGUGCUACCCUACUUCUUGGCUGUUCCUGAAAGAGCUCUUUGGCAUGGCACCUUUAACAACAAUCUUUGGAU